rnacentral:rRNA from 1 species
AUUGAACGCUGGCGGCAGGCUUAACACAUGCAAGUCGAGCGGAGAUGAGGUGCUUGCACCUUAUCUUAGCGGCGGACGGGUGAGUAAUGCUUAGGAAUCUGCCUAUUAGUGGGGGACAACAUUCCGAAAGGAAUGCUAAUACCGCAUACGCCCUACGGGGGAAAGCAGGGGAUCUUCGGACCCUGCGCUAAUAGAUGAGCCUAAGUCGGAUUAGCUAGUUGGUGGGGUAAAGGCCUACCAAGGCGACGAUCUGUAGCGGGUCUGAGAGGAUGAUCCGCCACACUGGGACUGAGACACGGCCCAGACUCCUACGGGAGGCAGCAGUGGGGAAUAUUGGACAAUGGGGGGAACCCUGAUCCAGCCAUGCCGCGUGUGUGAAGAAGGCCUUUUGGUUGUAAAGCACUUUAAGCGAGGAGGAGGCGCUCUAGGUUAAUACCCUAGAUGCGUGGACGUUACUCGCAGAAUAAGCACCGGCUAACUCUGUGCCAGCCGCCGCCGUAAUAC